CUUGGCUUUGGGCCUUUUGUCUGGUGCUGAGCUGAUGGUACAGGGCUUUCUCAAGAUGGGCUGAGCAGAUGGGACAGCUGAGUUGAGCCCGUUCAGUGUCGGGGUGACUUAAUUGCACAAGAUGAAGCUCUAAGAGCUGGAUGAAAACUGACAACUUGGACCUCCACAGAGUAAUUGUGUCCUAGCUGUCCCCAGAACAAGGUCCUUCAUUUUUGGAUAAAGGGCUUCCAUAUGUUGGCCAGACUGAUCUUGAAUUUCUAAGCCCAACUCAUCUUUUGCCCCAGCUUGCCGAGAAGAUUAAUUUGAAAUACAACUUUAUUCUGAUUCUAAAUGAAAAGAAUGGGAAUGACAGUUACAAAUAAGAUUUCACCACUGAAUAUUGUGAUGCUACUGUAGCAGUCUUUAUCUUUGAAAUCCAAGAAAGAAACAACUCUCUUCCAAAGGGCUAAAUAUG